rnacentral:rRNA from 1 species
CUACGGGAGGCACCAGUGGGGAAUCUUGCGCAAUGGACGAAAGUCUGACGCAGCGACGCCGCGUGGGUGAUGAAGGCCUUCGGGUCGUAAAGCCCUGUUCUGGGGGAAGAAACCACUUCGGUGCUGACGGUACCCCAGAAGAAAGCACAGGCUAACUCCGUGCCAGCAGCCGCGGUAAUACGGAGUGUGCUAGCGUUGUUCGGAUUUACUGGGCGUAAAGCGCAUGUAGGUGGCUUGACAAGUCGGAUGUGAAAUCCCGGGGCUCAACCUCGGAACUGCAUUCGAAACUGUCUUGCUUGAGUCCGGGAGGGGGUUGCGGAAUUCCGUGUGUAGAGGUGAAAUUCGUAGAUAUACGGAGGAACACCCGUGGCGAAGGCGGCAACCUGUACCGGUACUGACGCUGAGAUGCGAAAGCGUGGGGAGCAAACAGGAUUAGAUACCCGGGUAGUC